rnacentral:rRNA from 1 species
GACGAACGCUGGCGGCGUGCUUAACACAUGCAAGUCGAACGGAAAGGCCCUGCUUUUGUGGGGUGCUCGAGUGGCGAACGGGUGAGUAACACGUGAGUAACCUGCCCUUGACUUUGGGAUAACUUCAGGAAACUGGGGCUAAUACCGUAUAGGAGCUCCUGCUGCAUGGUGGGGGUUGGAAAGUUUCGGCGGUUGGGGAUGGACUCGCGGCUUAUCAGCUUGUUGGUUGGGUAGUGGCUUACCAAGGCUUUGACGGGUAGCCGGCAUGAGAGGGUGAACGGCGACAUUGGGACUGAGAUACGGACCAGACUCCUACGGGAGGCAGCAGUGGGGAAUAUUGUACAAUGGGAGGAAGCCUGAUGCAGAAACGCCGCGUGCGGGAUGACGGCCUUCGGGUUGUAAAACGCUUUCGCCUGUGACGAAGCGUGAGUGACGGUAAUGGGUAAAGAAGCACCGGCUAACUACGUG